AAUGAAGUGUCUGACUAAAAGAGUUAUUUUGAUAGAAUAAAAAAUGUAAAAUUUACCUUCAUUA
rnacentral:tRNA from 1 species